CCUACGGGAGGCAGCAGUGGGGAAUAUUGCACAAUGGGGGAAACCCUGAUGCAGCGACGCCGCGUGAGUGAAGAAGUACUUCGUUAUGUAAAGCUCUAUCAGCAGGGAGGAAAAUGACAGUACCUGAGUAAUAAGCCCCUGCUAACGACGUGCCAGCAGCCGCGGUAAUACGUCGGGGGCGAGCGUUCUCCGGAUUUACUGGGUGUAAAGGGAGCGUAGACGGCAGUGCGAGUCUGGAGUGAAAGGCCCGGGCUUAACCCCCGGACUGCUCUGGAGACUGUACGGCUGGAGUGCAGUAGAGGGAAGUAGAAUUCCUAGUGUAGCGGUGAAAUGCGUAGAUAUGAGGAGGAACACCAGUGGCGAAGGCGGCUUACUGGACUGUAACUGACGUUCAGGUGCGAAAGCGUGGGGAGCAAACAGGAUUAGAUACCCGGGUAGUC
rnacentral:rRNA from 1 species